CCGCAAAAAAAAAAAUUAAAAAAUGGUUUUGCCCAAAGGUUGCACCCAGGUUGCAAAAAAAAAACCAUUUAACCUGCUUUUUUUAAAAAAGCAAAUAAAAGGGAAUUGCACUUGUGACUCACACGGGAUUUGUGGGCACAAAAGUCACCCAUUUCGACCCAGGAUAAAUUUCCUUUUUUUUUUUUUCCUCCCAGGGCUGGAACAGAGCCCCCUUUGUGGUGGGCAGGUUUCAAAGCCGCCGUAGGGUCCUCCGUUAGAUCAUAUCAGACCCUUCCCCCAUCCCAAUCCUAUCCCAAGAUGGCAGGACACACCUGUUUAUGGCUAGAGGCAAAGAGAUUGGUCGGGCGCGGAAAAUCCACCUGCCCAGGGAGGGGUCGAGGAGCUACAUGUAAGUGGAGCUGUUAGACUUUCUCUGUCUUUCUCCUAUUCCAGCUUAAACAAGCCAGACACGCCAAGCUCCGACAAGCACCCCACGAUGCCGCGCCUCUCUUCGCUUAUUUUUUUUUUUUUUUAAUUUUUAAAAAAUUUAUUUAUUUUUAAGGAUUCGGUUUUUCUUUCCUGGUCUGUCGUUUCAAGUCCACCGAGCUCCUUCCACCAUCUUGCGGGCUUGGCGAAGGCCCGGCUGUCCCGCCACGACGACGACGACGUGUCCUCCCCACGCUUUCGCGCCCACGAAAACCCCGCAUCGGCAGUGUCGCGGAGUGGAAAGCUUCGAAGCCGAAGUCGCUCGCCAGAGGCCUGCCUCGACUCGCUUGGCUCAUGUAUUUAUUGGUUUCCCAUGCUUGGGUGGGGGAAAAAUUUUUUUUUCCUGUUGCCUGACACCCAAAUCAUUUCAGUGGCGAUGCUGGCUUUGUUAGCGUCUUUCCUGCAAGAAGUCUGCCGUCGUAUGUCGGAUCAGCGUAAAAUGGGAGCUUAAGUGGUGUUGCGGUUGGCUGGUACAUACAUGUCUCAUCUAGCUACCUCAUAAUCAGGGGGAAAAGAAGUAGAGAUGGCCCCAAUUAGAUGUCAGCAAAGAAAAUAUCCUUGUAGCCAAAUAAAUGCACAAAGAGAGGAGAAUUUCCUUCUUCCUUCUUUAUUUUAAUAUAGGCAUUAUCUAGACCUCUUUUCAGGAUUUGGGAAAUGUUUUCUGGAUCCCUGCAAAUCAAAGGGAUAGAGAGGCAAAACCGAGUAGUCACAAAGAUUGCAAAGACGGCUUUGCACCUGUCCAAAUUUUGCAAACCCCCACCGUGCCGAUUUUGAAAUGAGCUUCCGAAUGCUUGCUUAGAGAGCGAGAGCGAGAGAGAAAGUGCAUUUUAAACCCGCUGCUUGGAGAGGAAAGGCAUUCAAAAUAGAAAAUUUACUUGGGUAUUUUCAUGCAAACGAAGCAUUGUUAUCAUCCUAGGCUCCGGUUUGCCAGAAUUGGCUCUCGAUCUGAGUUUUGAUCUGACAUUUAUUGAAGCGGUCACGUAAAAAAAGACUGAAUGGGUCCCUUUGUAUGAAGGUGGGCUGAGAAGAAGAAAUGGAACAAUCGUGGUUUAGCAACAAUAAAAGGAAAAUAUCGCUAGGCCCCGCUGACAUAGAAGGGCUGUUGAGCAAUCGCAAAGGAGGCAGUUUAGUUUCCUUUGUCCUUUUUUUUUUUCCAGGAAGUAAUCUCUAUUACUCAGUAGGAUUUACACCUUGAAGGGCUCUACUGGUCAACCCAGCAGAGACUUCUGAAUAAUAGCCACCGCCUAAUAAUAAUUCUUCCCCUAGCACUAAAAGUUCCCAUGCCUGAAAGCAACAGAUUUGGAAGAAUGCUAAUUACCCUGUUUCCCCGAAAAUAGGACCCAACUGGAAAAUAAAUCCUAGCAUGAUUUUUUCCAGGAUGCUCGUAAUAUAAGCCCUACCCCCAAAAUAAGCCCCAGUUAAGAUUGUCAGCUAGAUGGAUGCAUUUAGUACCGUAUUUCCCCCCAAAUAAGACCAAACCAGAAAAUAAGGUUAUAAUAAGGUCAUUUGGAGCAAAAAAAUAAUAAUAUAAGAACCCGGUCUUAUUUUCGGGAAAACACGGUAUGGAAUUGGCCCAUUUCUCAGGUUUUUUUUUUUUUUUUUUUUUUUGCCAAAGUGGUCAGUUAGCACGCUAGUUGCCGACCAAGGAUUUGGUUCCAAUUGGAGAUCCUGCCCACUUUAAUGCUAUCAAAUGGGGCAUCUUUCUUCCUUGGAGGGACCGUAUACAAAGAAUGAUGAUGAUGAUGAUGAUGAUGAUGAUAAGAAUAGGAAUAGGAAUAAGAAUAGGAACAAUAGCAGUAAUGAUAAUAUAAGGAAAGGAUCCUUGAUGGGCAUCCCAGAGCCAAUUCUCAAAUGCAGAAUUUUAAGAAUUUAGAUGCCCCUUGGAAGCAUGUGUCCAAAUUACAUUAUUACCAACAUUUUACAUGUUCAGAGGCAGAGAUUGAUUGUUCCUGGCUCCCAUAGCUGAAUAAAUUUAGCUUUUGCUAAGUCUUGUAGUUGGAGAGGAAAAAAAAAAAAACUGGCGGAUUUUGGUGUCUUUUGAGUUUCGGCUUGUAUUUUGGGGUUUCCUGCCCUCUGUCAGGAUGAGUCCAUGAAGAGCCAAAGGCAGUCCUCGACUUACCACAUUUCAUCUAGUGACCCUUGUGGAAGUUACAACGGCACUGAAAAAAAAUGACCAUUUUUCACGCUUAACGACCGUUGCAGCAUCCCCCGUAGUCGCGUGAUUUACAUUGGGAUGCUUGACCCCCUGACUCACAUUUACGACGGUCGCAGCGUCCCCGAGUCACGCGAUCCGGUUUGGCGACAUUCUAACCAGCGAAGUCAAAUGGGGAAACCGGAUUCACUCAACCACCGGGUUAUUCGUUUUAAGAACCGCGGUGAUUCGCUUAAGAAAUGCGGGGAGAGAAAAGUCGUAAAACGGGGCCAAACUCACCCUUCACCAAUUUCUCACUUAACAAACAUCAAUUUGUGGGGGAUCCAUUGUGGUUGUAAGCUGAGGAUUGCCUGUCAUUUGUCGAAAUAAUUUUCCCUCGGCUGCGGAAGUCUCUUUAAUUCCUUUUAAGACAAUGCGGGAAUUUUUCUCUUGUGAUCCGGGUUUCUGAAAGCAAAUAGACACUCCUUCAGGCAAACUUUGAAAAAAGUGGAGUUUAAUCGCUUAAAAAGAGAGAGAGAGAGAAAACCACCUUUCUUCCUUCCAGUGACUAAUCUAGCAGAAGUAUUUGUGACCUUAACUAAUGUAAAAUUAAUUUACAUUACAUUACACACAAACACACACCUGCAAAGGGAGAGAAAAAGGGAGAGAAAUAUUGGAAUCAGACUUCAAAACCUUGCCUGUGUAAUUUGUCCACUCGACACGGCAAUUUGUUUUUCCAAAAAUCUUGCCAAGGGGAGAGAGAAACUUCGUAAUGGCUUGGUCUCUGCUCCUUUUUUUUUUUUUUAAAAAAGAUGGACCUUUAGGCCAAUUGCUCUGUUUGAUUUUGGGGGUUUUUCCCCUCCUAUUUUUCCUUCUACUGGAAGCGAAGACCAGCACUGGCUCCAUCAGGAGAGAGCCGGGAAGGAGAAAGGGGAAGGUGGCGAGAGAAACAGAAAUUAAAAAUUGACCUUGUGUAAUAAAGUUAGCAGCGUAAAUUCCUAUUAUUGCAAAGCGCAAUUUUUUAACGGGAUGAAUCUCUUGCGUGGGUUUUCCGUCGAUUUGCAACCGGGUUUGCAAAUGAUGCAGGGUGUGUGUGUUUGUGGGUGUGUUUGUGGGUUUUUUUCCUCCCCAAAAUCGUACGUUUUGCAUUUCGAAGAGCGAGCUUUGCUGUGCCAGCUCCGGCUGAAGGAGCCCUCUCUUGUCUUGGCGUUUUUCCCUGGCCUCCAAUGCGUGGUAGCGAUGGAAAUAAAAACCAAUAGACUUUCUCCCCCCUCUCCCCCCCCCAAAAAAAGAAAAGCUGGCAGUGCUUCAUUUGAGCUGAACUGAGUUUUAUUGGUCCAGUUUCAAGCUUUUGGCGUAAUCAACCUCUCGUUCAGAUAUCACAAUGAACUAGAACGUAGUUUGUUUGUUUUUUUCCCCCCCUCAAAGGCCUGUCUUAGCUCUGGAGCCACUGUAGCUUGUAAAUCCCGGUUUAGCAGUUUAACAUCUUGGGCUAUCUAUCGUUUUGGAUUUUAAACUAGGAUUACGCAAACUCCCGUCUGGAAGAGCGCGCAAACCAGGUGUAGUUUAAAAAUUCGGGUUUUGGGCUCUGACUACCCAAUGAAACCUACAUGGCUUGUGAUCGAAAAGUAGAAUUCCACCCCCAAAUAUUUUCAGGUUUGCUGCCGUUUCUUUCUACUUCCCUACAGCUUUGCUUGGUGCCUACCCUGGUAUCAAACCAGGGAGAGGAAGAGGGGGAAAUUCCCACCCUCUGGCUGAUAUUUUGGAAAUAUUUUCUUCUUGCCUUCCUUCCUUCCUUCCUUCCUUCCUUCCUUCCUUCCUUCCUUCCUUCCAGCCAGCCAGCCAGCCAGCCAGCCAGCCAGCCAGCCAGCAUAUCCAUUUUGAGAAGCCAUUGGCAUCUUACUGGGCAGCGUUGGAUGUUUUAUCUGUUUCUAAUACUGCCUGGUAAAGAUGUUGAUGCCGUCUCGCCUUCAACGUGGACCCCGCUUUGGGAGAGAGAGGAAAAAACGGAUCCGUUUGUGGCCAAAACUGGAGAAGAAGGAGAGGAAACAGGCAAGGAAAUGGUGCGGAUUCAGGAAGAAGAAAAAAAUAUAUUCUUUUCUUUUUCUCUCUAAAGACGUGGUGUUUGGAGCGAGAACGUAAUCUUUGAGCCAAGAUUUGAAGCUCUCGCCAUCUUUAGGAUGUAGUCCCUAUGAAGAAUCCCCUUGGUGGGGUUUACUUCGGUGUAAAGCUGCCCCACACAAUUGGCUUUCCUUUCUCAACUCAGGCGGCCAACUGAUGCUCUGCACUAGCAUGUUAGCAAGCGGAGCAACCCCAAAUUUUGGGAACGUGCCUGCAUCAGCUGCCUAAUAACCACGUUCCCAUCCGUAUCUUUUCAGCUUAGCUGUGCCCACAAGAUAUUUCAGUAUUAUAGGGGUGUUUGCACAUACCUGGCAGAUACUAAAGAAAGAGGGCUCUUGCUGAAAAGUGGCCCAUCUAUUUUUAUACAUAUUUGUACCCACAGAACACACACAGAUGCACACCCCUUGCUUAAGCUGCUUACUGUUCACAACAGCUUAAUUUGGCCAAAAAUGUCUCCUGAAAUUUUCUCCAGAAACCAGGCCACCUCCCGAACAACCUUGAUGGGGAAGAUUCGUUAAAUGUUGAAACCCACCGCCCCGAAUCUGCAUUGCAGAUUUCGUCUUGAUUUUGUUUUCUUCGAAAUCCUUCCCUUUGUUACUCGAACCCCGCCUCUCUUGAGUCUUCCACCUGUUCUUCCUUUACUGUCUCGGACGAAUCGAUAUGAAUUUUUUUACAGCUGUAAAGGAAGGCGCCGUGGAACGCUGGCGUUUUACGAGCAACUGACUUUUUCCUCUCCAACUCGUUCCUCCGACAACUACCGGAUCGUGGUCCUCUGUGGA